UUAAUUCCAAAGUUUACUCUUGUAAAGUCUGUUUGUUCAACUUUAAGAGUGCACUGAGAGAGAAUGAGCAGCACACUUCACCGUCUUGUGUGUGCAUUUUGUAAUUUUAUUACCACAAAUAUAUAAUUCUGCAUGAUUUCGAUAUAUUUUCUAGCUUGGCAACAUUUUAUAACGUCAUUAGUUUAGAGAAGGAUAAUAAUUUAAUAAUAAUAGUAAUUGGCCGUGUCUCAAUGCUUGUUUCAGAAUAUUAACAAUUAUAAAGUUGACUGUUAUUCUUAGUUAAUAGUAAAUUGUUUAAUAUGCUUAUGACUUGCGAAUCUAAUGGUCAGUUAACUUAAAUAAACCAGGGUUGAUGACGUAUGCGAGUGCGACCUCCGCAGGCUGAAACCAGUCUCUCGAGCUGAAAGAAAACGCAGCUGAGGAGAUAUGAGGAAACUUCCACCUACAGUAAGCAGAUGCUGAGGCCCAGAUUUCCAUGCUAAGCACUCCAAGGCUCAUCAUGCUCGGAGAGUCCAAUCUGAGGGCAAAAAAUGGAUGCUUUCCAUCGAGUGCUGACUUCUCCUCCAAUUGAGUGACGGUUGUGAUUUCACUUCUGCUCUAGCCUUUUUGCGUCAUACUAUGUAUGAGGCAGCCACUACAUUGGGAUUUAUCCAGAGGGUAGAGUCCAGCCCAGGAAGUCAACUAGUUCAUGUCCAG